GGGUAAGAAGCCGUGGCGUGUCAGCUGGAACGAACCUGCGGAACAGAUAGCUCAUUGAGAGAGUCCACACUGGUGUGCCGGACUCAGCGUGGCCGCCUUGCCACAGGAUGACUCCGCCAAUAUUUUCAACCUUAUCACCAACUGUUCCAUAACUCUGGCUCUCUGUUUCAGCCUUCCAGAGUUUCUGUCAAAUACUACUUACUCCACAUGUACUGCUAUUUGUUGAGAACACAGUGGUAGACCAAAAGGCAUGGCAUAUGCCCUAUGGAGCUUAUGGCCUAGUGGAGAAGAGGACAUUUAAUAGAUAAUCAUAUGACAAAAUUGGGGUCUGGACAUGUGAAAUGACUUUUCCAAAGUCACCUUGGAAGGCAAUUGAAGAAACAAGUUUCCUGUUCUAGAAUACAAGGCCAGAUUCAAUCCAAGAUUUGUUAAUUGAUAGAAUGCAAUCACUAUUUAAUUAAAAAUAGGCUGAAAUAAAAUACUAAAAUAAAAACUAGCCUGACAAAAUAGA